UCCGGUUUAACACCGGCAGUUCCGCUAGAGUGCCCAGCCUAACUGAUGGCAACUAACGGCAAGGGUUGCGCUCGUUGCGGGACUUAACCCAACACCUCACGACACGAGCUGACGACAGCCAUGCAGCACCUGUCUUCAGGUCCCCGAAGGGUACUCCCACAUUUCUGCGGGAUUCCAUCGAUGUCAAGCCCAGGUAAGGUUCUUCGCGUUGCGUCGAAUUAAACCACAUGCUCCACCGCUUGUGCGGGCCCCCGUCAAUUCCUUUGAGUUUUAGCCUUGCGGCCGUACUUCCCAGGCGGGAUACUUAAUGCGUUAGCGACGGCACUGCCGGGGUCAAUACCAGCAACACCUAGUAUCCAUCGUUUACGGCGUGGACUAC
rnacentral:misc_RNA from 1 species